UACGUAGGGUGCGAGCGUUAAUCGGAAUUACUGGGCGUAAAGUGUGCGCAGGCGGCAAAGCAAGUCGAGUGUGAAAGCCCCGGGCUUAACUUGGGAAUUGCGCUCGAAACUACUUUGCUGGAGUGUGGCAGAGGAAGGUGGAAUUCCACGUGUAGCGGUGAAAUGCGUAGAGAUGUGGAGGAACACCAAUGGCGAAGGCAGCCUUCUGGGCCAACACUGACGCUCAUGCACGAAAGCGUGGGGAGCAAACAGGAUUAGAUACCCUGGUAGUCCACGCCCUAAACGAUGACGACUAGUUGUUGGAGGAGUUAAAUCCUUUAGUAACGCAGCUAACGCGCGAAGUCGUCCGCCUGGGGAGUACGGUCGCAAGAUUAAA
rnacentral:rRNA from 1 species